GCCCUGUGUACCAUCCAAUAGAUGACUGUGAGCAUCCACUUCUGUAUUUGCCAGGCACUGGUAUAGCCUCACAAGAGACAGAUAUAUCAGGGUCCUGUCAGCAAAAUCUUGCUGGCAUAUGCAAUAGUGUCUGAGUUUGGUGGCUGUUUAUGGGUUUAUGGGAUGGAUCCCUAGGUGGGGCAGUCUCUCCGUCUCUGGAUGGUCCUUCCUUCAGUCUAAGCUCCAAACUUUGUCUCUGUAACUCUGGAUGGGGAACUUUUGUUCCAAUGCCUGAGAUACUUUUGGUUAUUUCCAAUGAGGAAAUGCUACUGGAGUCUGGUGAGCAGAGGCCAGCGUGACUUAGAAUGUUAGAUUCUUAGAAUCACAGAACAGAUCCCUCUUCUACAAAAAAAAAAAAAAAAAAAGGUAAUAUUUUGGCUCCAAAUACCAAAAUAGCAAUAGAUAAUAGAAAUCACUGACCUGGGCCAUAUAUUAAAUUCACAUGGAAAUAAGAGUGGGAAUAAAUGUGGAUGUAUAUCCAAAGACUUAAAUUUUGGACAUGAUGACACAUGAAUAUAUUCCCAGCAUCUGGGAAGCUAAGGCAAGAGAACCUGUCAUUGAAGGUCAUCUUUGACUAUAUAGUGAGUUUGAAGUCAUCCUAGGACACAUUUCACUUUAUCUAAAAACAUAAAAUGAGAGUCCCAGUGAGGAUGUUCUCUUGGGCAGUGUAUUUUAAAAGGCCAGGGCACUUGCAUUGCUGCUUCCAAAACUCAGGUAUGGGGGCUUGUGGUUGUUUAGACUGAAAAUAUUCUGUGUGAAGGAUGGUCAAAUAUAGACUGGACCAAUCAGAAGCAACUUGGAAACAAGUGUCUGGUCUAUCUGCAUCAGUCAAAGGACAAAACAGCCAGUGUAAGCAAAUAUAGUGAAACCACCAAACUAGACUACUCCAAGGGAAUAAAAAGGUUAUUUUGGAACAAAACUGUCUCAGAGAGUAGAGGGCAAUGACUUGGCAGGAAAGCAAGCAGAUUUUAUAUGACAGGGUAGGAGUCUUGAAUGCAGAGAUCAGCAUGCCUGUCUCCUGGGAUUAAAGGUGUGUACCACCAUGCCUGGAUCUAAAUUUAGCUGGGCAGGAUCUUGCCCGAAGGUCCCACUUCCUUAAUCUGUUAUCUCCUAGAACACAGGAUUUUGCUCCAUUUCACUUCCUGGUACCCCUUUAAUACUCAAACCACAUAUUAUAUAUUUUUUUUCCUUUCUAAGCUUGCUAUGUUUGUUCUAACUUCUUUUCAUAAGACUUAACCAGAGAACAAAGUCUCUGCUGGGCUUUUUUGAAACUUCCUUUGUCAAAGCAAUUAAUCUGAAUAGCCUCACCUUAGCCUCAGGCAGACUUUUCAGACAAGGGCAAAAGUAGCCACAUUCUUCGACAAAAUACCACAAAAAUAGUCUUUAUGCCACAUUCUGAGAUUCUUCUCCUUUGAAAUCUCUUGGGCCAGGUCAACACCGUUCAAAUUACUCCCAGUAACAGUCUUCCAUAUUCCUACUAGGAUGACCCAUUAAGCCCCAUUUAAAGCAUUCCACUGUGUUCCAAAUCCAAAGUCCCCAAAUCUACAUUCUUUCAAUUAAAAGCAUGGUCAGGCCUAUUGCAGCAAUACCCCACUCCCAGUACCAACUUCUGUCUUAGUUAGAGUUUUACUGCUGUAAACAGACACCAUGACUAAGGCAAGUCUU
rnacentral:lncRNA from 1 species